GGAGGAAAAGAAACUAACAAGGAUUCCCCUAGUAACUGCGAGUGAAGCGGGAAGAGCUCAAAUUUAAAAUCUGACAGUCUUUGGCUGUCCGAGUUGUAAUCUAGAGAAGUGCUAUCCGCGCUGGACCGUGUACAAGUCUCCUGGAAUGGAACAUCAUAGAGGGUGAGAAUCCCGUCUCUGACACGGACUUCCAGGGCUUUUGUGAUACGCUCUCAAAGAGUCGAGUUGUUUGGGAAUGCAGCUCUAAAUGGGUGGUAAAUUCCAUCUAAAGCUAAAUAUUGGCGAGAGACCGAUAGCGAACAAGUACCGUGAGGGAAAGAUGAAAAGAACUUUGGAAAGAGAGUUAAACAGUACGUGAAAUUGUUGAAAGGGAAACGCUUGAAGUCAGUCACAUUGACUAGGGAUCAACCUUGCUUCUUUGCUUGGUGUACUUCCUAGUUGAUGGGCCAGCAUCAAUUUUGACCAGUGGAUAAAGGUCAAGGGAAUGUGGCAUCUUCGGAUGUGUUAUAGCCUUUGAUUGUAUACAUUGGUUGGGAUUGAGGAACUCAGCAUGCCGUAAGGCCGGGUUUCGACCACGAUCAUGCUUAGGAUGUUGGUAUAAUGGCUUUAAUCGACCCGU
rnacentral:rRNA from 1 species